UACGAAGGGGGCUAGCGUUGCUCGGAAUCACUGGGCGUAAAGGGUGCGUAGGCGGGUCUUUAAGUCAGGGGUGAAAUCCUGGAGCUCAACUCCAGAACUGCCUUUGAUACUGAAGAUCUUGAGUUCGGGAGAGGUGAGUGGAACUGCGAGUGUAGAGGUGAAAUUCGUAGAUAUUCGGAGGAACACCAGUGGCGAAGGCGGCUCACUGGCUCGAUACUGACGCUGAGACGCGAAAGCGUGGGGAGCAAACAGG
rnacentral:rRNA from 1 species